rnacentral:rRNA from 1 species
ACUCCUACGGGAGGCAGCAGUGGGGAAUUUUGGACAAUGGGCGAAAGCCUGAUCCAGCAAUGCCGCGUGAGUGAAGAAGGCCUUCGGGUUGUAAAGCUCUUUUGUCAGGGAAGAAACGGUGAAAGCUAAUAUCUUUUGCUAAUGACGGUACCUGAAGAAUAAGCACCGGCUAACUACGUGCCAGCAGCCGCGGUAAUACGUAGGGUGCAAGCGUUAAUCGGAAUUACUGGGCGUAAAGCGUGCGCAGGCGGUUUUGUAAGUCUGAUGUGAAAUCCCCGGGCUCAACCUGGGAAUUGCAUUGGAGACUGCAAGGCUAGAAUCUGGCAGAGGGGGGUAGAAUUCCACGUGUAGCAGUGAAAUGCGUAGAUAUGUGGAGGAACACCGAUGGCGAAGGCAGCCCCCUGGGUCAAGAUUGACGCUCAUGCACGAAAGCGUGGGGAGCAAACAGGAUUAGAUACCCGGGUAGUCCCAUGAU